UGGGGUAACUUCUGCCUAACAUGCUUCCCUCCCAACGGUCAAGACAUGUUCUCCACAACCCCUUCCUUCUCAAAUUUCUACACUUUCCCGCGACCCAAACAAGACCAUUGAACACACUCUCUUCCCUCUUGAACCUCUGCAACGAUCCCAAAAAACUCCAGCAAAUCCACGCCAGGUUCGUCCUUCAUGGUCUGCACCAAAACCCAACACUCUCAUCCAAACUCAUCGACUGCUAUGCCAACCUUGGCGUCCUCAGUCUUUCCCAACAAGUCUUCAACUCUGUCAGUGACCGAAGUUCCCUUCUGUAUAAUACAAUCUUAAGAAAGUGGCCAGGGUGUGGUGAAUUUGAGAGAACCCUUUUGGUUUACAAUGAAAUGGUUAUGAAAUCUAUGUACCCAGAGGGAAAUACUUACCCUUAUGUUUUGAAGUCAUGUUCUUGGUGUUCAGAUGCUAGAAAUGGGGCAAAGAUUCACGGGCAUGUGGUGAAAUUGGGUUUUGAUUCAUAUGAUCUGGUGGGUGCUGCUUUGGUUGAUAUGUAUAGAAGCUAUGGUAAUUUUGAAAAUGAGGGAAAGCAAUGGAAUUCUCUGACUUCUGAGGGUUCACAAAGCGGAAAAGCAAUAGAGAAAUUUGAACCUGAUUCAGUUACUGUGAUUAACUUGCUGAGGUCAAGUGUGGAUUUGAACUCAUUGCAGGUGGGAAAGGCUGUUCAUUGUUUGGUUGUUGUGAGCAAUUUGUGUGUGGAUUUGUCUGUGAAUACUGCAUUGUUGUCUAUGUAUGCCAAGUUAGGUGAUUUAGAAUAUGCCAAAUUGGUAUUUGAAGAAAUGCCUGAGAAGGACUCUGUUGUUUGGAAUAUAAUGAUAUCAGCUUAUUCUCGAAUUGGGUACCCUAAGGAAUCACUGGAGCUACUAAGAUGCAUGGGAAGUUCAGGCAUUAGAGCUGAUUUAUUUACUGCAAUCCCUGCAAUUUCUUCAAUUACACAGUUAAGAGCUACUGAUUGGGGAAAACAAAUGCAUGCUCAUGUGAUAAGAAAUGGUUCAGAUUAUCAAGUGUCCGUUCAUAAUUCUCUGAUUGACAUGUACUGUGGAUGUGAUCGGCUAAAUUCGGCUCGAAAGGUUUUUGAUGUUGUGACAAACAAGACUGUUGUUUCAUGGAGUGCAAUGAUUAAAGGAUAUGUCAAUCAUGAUCAGUCACUUGAUGCUCUUUCUCUCUUCUCCAAGAUGAAAUCUGAGGGAAUCAGUGUCGAUUUCAUUACAGUUAUUAACAUCUUGCCUGCUUGUGUGAAUCUAGGGGCACUAGAGAAUGUAAAAUACCUUCAUGGGUACUCGGUGAAACUUAGCCUCAACUCACUUUCGUCUGUUAAUACGGCAUUUCUAGUCAGCUAUGCAAAAUGUGGAUGCAUAGAGAUGGCCUGGAAGCUUUUUGAUGAAGAGAAUAUCAAUGAUAAAGAUCUAGUCACAUGGAACUCUAUGAUUGGUGCGUAUGCUAAGCAUGGAGACUGGGAUCGAUCUUUUGAGUUGUAUAACCAAAUGAAGGAACUGAGAUUGAAACCAGAUCAAGUAACCUUUCUUGGAGUACUGACAGCCUGCGUAAACGCAGGUCUUGUUCAAGAAGGGAAGGAGUGUUUCAAGGAGAUGGUUGAGACAUAUAAUUGUCGACCAAGCCAGGAACACUAUGCUUGCAUGGUGGAUCUACUAGGGCGUGCUGGGCAUGUCAAUGAAGCCAGAGAACUUGUAAAAUCUAUGCCUUUCAAACCUGAUGCUCGGGUAUGGGGCCCUUUGUUAAGUGCUUGUAAGUUGCAUUCAGAGCCUGGGGUUGCAGAGUUUGCUGCUGAGAAGCUUAUAACCAUGGAACCGAAAAAUGCUGGAAAUUACAUAUUGCUUGCCAACAUAUAUGCUGCAGCUGGAAAGUGGGAUGGAGUUGCUAAGAUGAGGAGUUUCCUCAGGGAUAGAGGACUAAAGAAAACUCCCGGUUGUAGCUGGGUAGAGAUAAAUGGAUGUCUACAUGAGUUCCGAGUAGCGGAUCGAUCUCAUCCAAGAUCAGAUGGUAUAUAUACCAUAUUAAGAAACCUGGAGUGGGAAAUCAAGGAUGCAAGAGACAGAGAUGGAGUAUUGA